AGCAGUCGCCACGGGAAUACGUAGGGUGCAAGCGUUAAUCGGAAUUACUGGGCGUAAAGCGUGCGUAGGCGGCUUCUUAAGUCGGAUGUGAAAUCCCUGAGCUUAACUUAGGAAUUGCAUUCGAUACUGGGAAGCUAGAGUAUGGGAGAGGAUGGUAGAAUUCCAGGUGUAGCGGUGAAAUGCGUAGAGAUCUGGAGGAAUACCGAUGGCGAAGGCAGCCAUCUGGCCUAAUACUGACGCUGAGGUACGAAAGCAUGGGGAGCAAACAGGAUUAGAUACCCGCGUAGUCCCUGUCUCUUAUAU
rnacentral:rRNA from 1 species